UACGUAGGGGGCCAACGUUGUCAGGAUUUACUGGGUGUAAAGGGUGCUCAGGCGGUUGUAUAAGUCAGAAGUGAAAUCCUAGGGCUUAACUCUAGAACUGCUUUUGAUACUGCGCAGCUUGAAUGUGGAAGAGGAGGAUGGAAUUUCUGGUGUAGCAGUGAAAUGCGUAGAUAUCAGAAAGAACACCAUUGGCGAAGGCGGUCCUCUGGUCCAUUAUUGACGCUAAAGCACGAAAGCGUGGGGAGCAAACAGG
rnacentral:rRNA from 1 species